AGAUUUUAGAUGUUAUAUUUAGCGCAGGCUCUCAACGGAGGUAUUCCUCAUUCGCUAUGGUUUCAAGCUCUGGUGCCUAGUAUAUGGAGAGAACGCAAUUUCGUCGACAUGGUGAGUAACCAAGAGAUGAGAAGGUCCUGAUCAAGUUUGUGGACAAAAUGGUUUGUCCGAAAUUGUUAUAUCACUUUGAGGAAAAGGUCAGAGAUACCUCGACAAAGGCUGUGUACCUGGCUUGGGACACAAGUGAAAGAUUUUUUUCCAAUUUAAAGCUCAAAAUUUGAUUUUUUUUAAUGGGUUCUUUGAUUAUUUACAAGAAUCAAAA
rnacentral:lncRNA from 1 species